GUGCACAGGCGGAAGCGGAGGAGGGCGGGGGACGCCAGGCCUAAAGCGCCUCGUGGGUUUAGAGAACUCAGAGAGGGCACCGGGUGGGGGUAGGGGGAAGGCGCAACCCGUAGCUAAAUGUUUGGCCUUUGGCUAUUUUUUAAGGAAACGAAUCUCAGGGAGGUCGAGGCGCGGGGGGUGGGGGCAUCAUCGCGCCUCGGAGAGGGAGGCGAGUUCCCCUCCGCUUUCUGGGAAAAGCCUUGUCCCCCUUCUUUCCCCUCCCCCCAUCCUGCUGAGGGUUUGCGUCGACCCAUCUCUCCGCUCGGGACCGGCAGGAGGACGGAGCCGCAAGGGGCUGACCGCGGCCCAGGGGUCGCGCAGCUGCCGGCCUGCGCUUCCGCACUCCCGGGUUCGGUGCGUCGCCUCUCGCGGCAGCGCCUCGCUUCCUCCAGACUGUAAUUCCACACUCCCGCAAGCGCUGGGGCUGCGGAAUCGUUUGAGGGAGUUGGAACUGCAUCAGAUGAGCACGCCGGAAGACACGAAAAUUGGACACGUGGAGAAUUAGCCCUGCUGGAGAAGCGCUGGGUGCAGACUCAAACAAUGGUUUCCAGCGCCGAAGCUGAGGCAGCACCUUCCCCACCUCCACCCUCAAAUGGCAGCUGCCUCUAUAUACAGCGGGCACACCCCUUCACUACCCACCCCCUCCCCUAGAGCCUGGUUAGGGACCUACGUGGGCUGCACGCUCUGGAUCCCCUUGCCCGGACACAAACCCUAGGUGGGCCUGGGCUGCCCGCUGAGUAGGUCAUUGCGCCUGGGAUCCCUGGGAUUUAGAAGUAUAGGGCUCUCUAUUUUUCCCUAGGAAGGUCCUGUCUCAAAGAUACUACCCCCAAAAAUUAACGUGUAAAAACCCAACCAAGCUCCAGGCUCUGUGUCCUUUGGCAAAUCUAUCUUUCCUAGGGCAUACUUUCCUAAGCUGCUGGGACCUUGCCCCCCAUCUGAUGAGCCAUACCCAGGUGGUCUGGCCUCUUCAGAGCAGCUUCCUUUAGCUAUUGUCUUCUCCAGAGGCCCCAUCCUCCACGGCAGCCCUAACCUUUGCCCCCCCAGUCUCUCUGAGUCCCCACCCCACCCCCACACUGCGCUGAGCUGGCAGCAGCCACAGCUCCCCCAGGCAGUUCCUCUCUCGCUGCGCGGCCUGUGCAUCUCGCUGGGGCACACACUCCACACAGAAGCUCCCUCGCCUCCUGGAGCUGGUUUCCUCUUACAGGCUCCCCUUAGAGCUGCUGGGGCUGUGGCAACGCCUGCAUCUCUGUGUCUCCCUGCAGCGCUGCGAGCUGUGAAUCUGCUUUCUCUUCCAUUCCUGCAAAGGUCAAGCUGCCUCCUUCUCUCGCAGGGCCGCAGUUCAGUUCUGGCCUGCAGAGCUUCUACACUGCAACUUGAAUAUGGGAAUAGAGUGGGCAUCGUGCAAGGGAGCAGUCACACUCAAGCCAGGAGGCAGGGACAAAAGGGUGUGCGAUUCAGGGAGGGAAACACUGAGGACAACCCUCAGAAAGCAGUGCAGGAUUUGCAGCUGAAGACUCAAAAGAGGGAGAGAAAACCAACAAAAGGCUGUUAUUAGGUCGUGAGUCCUGAAGUGUAGGCCUUUCUCCUCCUACCUCUUUGGUUGCCCUAGGGCAAGGCCCGAAGAGGCCUCAGGUGUCUGCAGUGUCCUGUGCAGUUCCUAGGGCCAUGCACUUCCGGUGAGGCUGCACUUUACUCCAAGCAGGAGUCAGAAGCAUGGAAUUCAGUGGCCGCAGGAGCUCAAGUCGGCUGCAGCCCUUUCAAAGAGGGACCCCGAAGAGGCCUUUCUGCCACCCCACCCCCAGAGAGGCUAUGAGGCUCUACAAGCAGCAGAGAGAAUGAUGUGGAGAAAAAUGAGAGGAAACGCUAUUAAACUUGCUUCCUCUAAAGAGCGCUACCCACCGUUUUCUCUGAACUGUACCUAAAAAGUCAGGAGAGAACUCGUUAACUUUUGUUUGGUUUAGCAUUGCCAGCUUCAAGUCAACCGUAGGCCCCCCGAAGGUUUUGUAAAAUAUUUAAUCUAGCUCAGACAAUUUCCUGCAGUCCCUAACCAGACCACCCCACUUACUGAGCCGCUGCCAAAAAGGAUGCUUGACUGCAGACUGGCAACCAGAGGCCUUCCAGUCGCCUGGCUGGCCUUGACCUCCACUCGAGGCGCCAGGAAAGACCCUUCCCGGAAUCCAGAGAGACCAAGACCUGGGUAACCCUGGAGGUCUAAACCCGUGAGGAAGCCCAAGAAAUGGAGUUAAAGACCCUUUUCACACAACCGAUUGUUGUCUGUGUGACCUUCUGCGGCUCUUGCCCUCUCUGAACCCUCUAAAAUGGGCAUGAGGAUGUCUCACCUUCCUCUGGGUGUUAUGCAUUUUGAAGCGUGGGCACUAUGGGAGAGGCUGACGCUCUGUGUUCCCCAGCGCCCUCCACUCCCACCCCUUCACUGUUUUCUUCGACAUUAUCUCCCUAGAGAACACAGCAAGCAGGAGCGGGAUCCUUCGACUCGGCUGAGUCUCAACUCCUUCCAAACGUGAGGCUGACGGGGAGAACUCCUGCUCUGCCCAUUUUCCAUUCCCGCCUCCAGAAUAACGAGCCGAAAACAUGUGUACUGUAAAUAAAGCCUGUCUAAAUAAAGCACUCGGGUAAAGGCU
rnacentral:lncRNA from 1 species